rnacentral:rRNA from 1 species
CGCGUGAGGGAUGACGGCCUUCGGGUUGUAAACCUCUUUUGGCAGGGAAGAAGCGAAAGUGACCGUACCUGCAGAAAAAGCACCGGCUAACUACGUGCCAGCAGCCGCGGUAAUACGUAGGGUGCAAGCGUUAUCCGGAAUUAUUGGGCGUAAAGAGCUCGUAGGCGGUUUGUCGCGUCUGCUGUGAAAACCCGAGGCUCAACCUCGGGCCUGCAGUGGGUACGGGCAGACUACAGUGCGGUAGGGGAGAUUGGAAUUCCUGGUGUAGCGGUGGAAUGCGCAUAUAUCAGGAAGAACACCGAUGGCCAAGGCAGAUCUCUGGGCCGGAACUGACGCUGAGGAGCGAAGGGGUGGGGAGCAAACAGGCUUACAUGCCCUGGUAGUCCACCCCGUAAACGUUGGGAACUAGUUGGGGGGUCCAUUCCACGGAUUCCGUGACGCAUCUAACGCAUUAGCCUCCCCGCCUGGGGAGUACGGCCGCAAGGCUAAAACUCAGAGGAAUUGACGGGGACCCGCACAAGCGGCGGAGCAUGCGGAUUAAUUCGAUGCAACGCGUACAACCUUACCAAGGCUUGACAUA